AUUGAACGCUGGCGGCAGGCCUAACACAUGCAAGUCGAACGAGUGGCGGACGGGUGAGUAAUGUCUGGGAACCUGCCUGAUAGAGGGGGAUAAAUACUGGAAAAGGUAGAUAAUACCGCAUACUAACAGAUUGGCCCAGAUGGUAUUAGCUAGUGGGUGGGGUAAAGGCUCACCGAGGCGACGCUCCCUAGCUGGUCUGAGAGGAUGACCAGCCACACUGGGACUGAUACACGGUCCAGACUCCUACGGGAGGCAGCAGUGGGGAAUAUUGCACAAUGGGCGCAAGCCUGAUGCAGCCAUGCCGCGUGUAUGAAGAAGGCCUUCGGGUUGUAAAGUACUUUCAGCGGGGAGGCGUUACCCGCAGAAGAAGCACCGGCUAACUCCGUGCCAGCAGCCGCGGUAAUUC
rnacentral:rRNA from 1 species